GUGCCAGCCGCCGCGGUAAUACGGAGGGUGCGAGCGUUGUCCGGAAUUAUUGGGUUUAAAGGGUGCGUAGGCGGCUAUAUAAGUCAGAGGUGAAAUCCCAGGGCUCAACCUUGGAACUGCCUUUGAUACUGUAUAGCUUGAGUAUACUAGAGGUAGGCGGAAUUGAUGGUGUAGCGGUGAAAUGCAUAGAUAUCAUCAAGAACUCCGAUAGCGAAGGCAGCUUACUGGAGUAUAACUGACGCUGAGGCACGAAAGUGUGGGUAUCGAACAGGAUUAGAUACCCCGGUAGUCC
rnacentral:rRNA from 1 species